rnacentral:rRNA from 1 species
UACCUUAAGACAAAAAUAAUUUAAGGCAAGCCCUGCCCAGUGAAAUCUUCAACGGCCGCGGUAUCCUAACCGUGCAAAGGUAGCAUAAUAACUUGCCUAUUAAUUAUAGGAUAGAAUGAAAGGGUAAACGAAAUAGGAGCUGUCUCUAUUAGCCCAAUGAAAAUUAUUUUUUAACUGAAGAAAGUUAAAUUCAACUGAAGGACAAGAAGACCCUAUAGAGCUUAAUUUAACCUACUAAAUAAGUAAAAAUUAAAUUCGGUUGGGGCGACCAAUGCUCUACAAAUCAUCACCCACAAAAAGAAAUAUACAUCUCAAAAAAGACCCUGACCCAGAUCAAAAAAACAAGCUACCUUAGGGAUAACAGGCUAAUCUCAUUAAUGAGUCCCCAUCUAUAAUGUUGGUUGGCACCUCGAUGUUGGCUUAGGGAAUCAAAAGGGCGCAGAAGCUUUUUAAGACGGUUUGUUCAACCAUUAAACCCCUA